CUUUUCUAUAAAGGACCCAACUUGAAAGGGAAAUUUUGCUGACAGUGAGAGUUUGAGUUUCAGUCCCUAAAGCCAGGGGCAAGUUUUUCAAGAGACCCAUACUGCAAGGCCACAUUGUGGACUAUGUAACUUCAGCUAAUUUCUUGGAAAUCAAUCAAAGCAUAUGGACUAUAUUUUAAUUCUACAGACAUUGCGUUAGGCAGAACAGCUACCAACACCCAAUCCCUGAAAUUUGUGAUUAUGUUUUGAUACAUGGCAAAAGGAACUAUGCAGAUGUAAUUAAGGUUAAGAACUUUAAAAUAGGAAGAUUAAAUCCAAGGAGUUCUUCAAAGUAAAGAACUACUACAUGCAGAAGAUUGGGAAGAAAUAACAGAGAGUGCUUGAAGAAUAGAUGUGGCUAGGACAAUAUCUCUGAAUCUCUGAAUGGCCCAUGGUGGUGACCCCCAGCCAGAGUGAACUGUGCAGCAGCAAUGGUGCCCAGUGGGCAGCAACAGUGGAACAGAAGAAAAACCAUAAGCAACCUCUCUGAACUGAUGUUACAUAUAACAUGAAGAUUGUGUAUAUCACCUUAGAGCCAUGCAACUAAGAACAACAUGAGUCUGGUGACACAGAUCCAAUCUGAGGGGAGCUAGCUGGACAUGGCUGUAUGGUGAAUUUUUAAAAAGAAAAAAAAAAAGUAAGCACUUAGUUCAGUUCAUUUCUUUUUAUCUUAAAUAGCACAAAAUUAUCCUUUUGUCAUUUAAUUCACAGUGGUAUCUAGAAAUCAGUGAUGGAAAAGAUCAAUUAGGUCAUUUAGCUCCUUUCCAAGGUUCCAAUUUUCUCUUUCAGCAUAUUAACUUUUGCCUGUCCAAAUUUAAGUGACUAAAGAGAUGGGUUUCCACAACUUACUUGGGAGAUAUUUCUAAAUCAAAUUUAUCUGUACCAAAGCAUCGUUAAAGACUUUGCUAUUAGAGUUAUACUAAAUUGUUCUCUGCUUAAUUGCAUCUCAUUUUUCCUUCAUUCCUCUUGGCUACUCAAAGCAAACUUUGUUUUUCUUUGAAUAGAUUUAUUUUAGACCAGCUCAUCCUCAUAUAUUAUUGACAAAGAAUAUAUCAUUAAUUGUUUCUGUUCAUUACAUGAAUUGUUGCUUAAAUAUUUUUGUUCUUUUGCUCAGAAACCACAGUGGAAAGGAGGCCACUUUGUAUUAAAAAUAACAAUAUUUCAUAGGAAAUUCUCUUAAAUUCAUCAAGGGAUCCAGUGGCUGUGCAUAACCUUUUCUAGCUUCAACCCAUCGAACAUGAAUGCCAUGUGUUGAGGAUGCAGAAACAAUCAAGACAGACAAGGUUCUAGCCACCCUUGAGCUAUAACCAAGUUGGAGAAAAAAGUCAGCAUGCAAGUAAACAAUAAUCAUUCAAGCUAUAUAGGUUGUGCCUCAUGAAACAAAAGGACUUUGUAUGUGAGAGAGUAAUGGAAACCAGGCACAGCUUUUAAGAGAUGAUGUCUAGAAUGGGACCUAAAGAAGAAGGAGCUCUCCAUGCAAAAAUAUAAGAAAAGCCCAUUCUAAGCGAGAGACAUCAGGAAGGACAAAGGAACCGAGGCAGGAAAGAGUUUGGUGUCUUUUAGGAAUAGAUGAGAAUCCAAUCUUGGGCUAAUGAAGCAACACAAGAUUCGCAACAGCAGGGAGUUGCUACUAUCUUUAGCUUGAAGGAGAAAAAGGAGGAGGUUGUAUUACCAGAGCCCAGGGGUGGAGUGACCCAGCAUAACAUAGAAUCUUAGUUGGUAUAUUCAAGAGAAGUUGGAUCCAAAGAAGAGAUACAGCCAUUAUUAGAGAUGCUGCCCCAGAGGGAGAAGGAGAGAUACCUUGAAAAUUUCCCUUAAUCCCUCCAUUCGUUAUAUCACCAAUGACUUCCAGUGACUGAACCAAAUCAGAUGCCAGAUGACACAAUAGCCUAGCAAAUGCAGUCUAAGAAUUCAAUCUCCAACACACCCAGUAGAAAGAGCAAAGGGUAAGAAAUUGACUUGAGAGCAAGUUGGCUCAGAACAGUAGACCCUUAAAUUCAUUAAGGGUCAACUACUUUAAUACUUUGGGAAAAUAAUCCCACUAUGCAGGGAAAGAGGAUGAAUUUUAAAAUGUCAUAUUUUAGGUAUAUAAAGAAAAAUCCUGCCUGACCCUGAUAUAAAGAAAUGAAGAUAUUAGAAAAAAGUGUUGGCUCUACAUGUCCAGGUACUACUGAUCACGACAGCACUUACAGGCUCUAAAUGGUUAACUUCCUGAAAAGUGGCUGUUAUAUGGAAAACCAUAAAACAAUCAUUGGUGAUCCUUGUUUCUAUUUAAAAAAACAUGCUCUUAGGUUCAAGUAGACUGACCCACUUUAGGACUAUCUAUCCCUAGGGAUCUUGUAAAAUGCAGAGAAUGAGAAAAACCUUUAGAAGAUGCUAAACUCUCCGCUUUUAAGCUAACUAGCAUGUUGAACAAUUUAUUUGUACAAUAUGAGAUAUGACCAUAUUGCAUCUCAUCUUAUGGAAUUACUCAAGUUAUAUACAAUUUUCUCAAGUGCUAUUGCUAGUCUGGAUGUAGGAGUGAAGAGAAUAAAUUGAGGGCUUGAUCUAUGUUUGGGGUUUUCAGAGAAGACAUAGAAAUGAAAGAAGAACAGAUUGGUUGAGAAUAUAAUCAAGUGAUUAUGGGUUCUGUAUUGAGCAGAUAAUUUAGUCCAAGAAGAUGCUUAUAGUUAUGAAAGAAAAUUCAGGAUCAAGUACAUGAGGUCUAUAGAAGGUCAAACAGUAGUUAAGAAGGAGUGAAGAAGUGUGAGAGCUAAAGGAUGUAAAGUAGAAGUCAGAAAGUGAGGGCAAUGAGGCAUUCUAGUGCAUGAAUGUGACAGGGAGCAGCUGAAGAGAAUGGAAGUGAUAGUUCUAGUUCAACGGUUCCAGGAACUGCCAUGUUAGGGAGUUAGAAAGUUGCCCACAUGGAUUUGAAAUUUGUCCUUAAUUUAUUCAUCAAAUGUAGUUAGUGCUAUUAUGUCUAUUGUUCAACGUUGCUGAGUAACAAACAACCUCAAAAAUCCUAUCGGCUUCCAAUAACAUUGUGUCUCGUGCUUAUCAGACUGUGGUUUGACUAUUUUCAGUUGAUCUAGGCUGGACCAUGUUGCUCCACGGUGUGAGACUGGAGAACUUUGCUCCAGGAUUUCAGUCUUUUCUAUGUGUGUUUAUUUUAGAGGGCAGGCUGAUGGAGAAGAAGCUACCUGGGUAUGCUCUUCUUAUUGAGAGUGACAGUACAGGAGGCAAAAGCCUAACCACACAAGCAAAUUAAAACCUCAACUCACUUCAUAGCUGCUAAAAUUUCGUUGGCCAAAACAAUUCAUGUUUUAUUAAAAUAAACUGAAAACUGAAAUUAAUAAGAGGUUUUUCUUUUCUAAUGAGUUGUAUUAUAAAAUCAUACGGCAAAAUCUUUGGUUAAGACAGAGUAAAUAUUUCAAAUGAAGAUGCAAU
rnacentral:lncRNA from 1 species